AUGCAGGUGAGUGACCAGAAGGGCUGGAGCCAGGAUCCACCCCUUCCCAGACCUCAUUUAAUGGGUGGCAGUGGAAGCAAGGGUGUUUUUGUUGGAGAUCCGCAAGUACCUGAGGCCUUCUAAAGGUGGAUGCUGUGCUUAGUCAUCCUGGCGCUUUUAAAGACGAAUGAAGGAUUACCCGGGAUGUAGAGCCAGGAGUGAGAAGGAUAAAUAACACCAAGAAGCUGAUCGCUGCCCGUCUGUCAUAAAAUUUCAUUAGCUCUGACAGUCUGUACAACAUAAGCAACGAAUGAAUGCUAACGAUGCUUCCUCUCCGUCUGCUUCCACAUCUCACUUGUGCUGAUUUGCUCGGAGGAAGAACUGCCCAGAGAAACCUGGAGGAUGAAGGGACUUCUUGCAGGACUGGGAUCGCACAUGGAGCAGAACCAUGGAGGGGAUACCUCCAUUAGAGCUCCUUGCCGAGAGUGUUUCUUGACUGGGAAGGAUGGAUGCUGAUCUGUGGAGUACCCAAGGGGAUGGCUUUGCUCCCAGUGAAGGGGCUGAGAACUGUUCAAGUCUUCAAAGGUAACGCUUCCUGCUGGGGUAACACUUCCUUCUAUUAGAAAAUAAUGGGUGAAUGAAGUCAGACAGAGAGUGAUCAGGAUCCCUGCAGUACUUGGGUUUUAGGCGGUACGUUUCUACUCCCUUGAUUUGUACCAGCGCUGCUGUUCCAAUGUCCUGACCCACAUCACUGACAUUUCAACUGGAAGCCAGCAACGGUGGCCUCAUGACUUGGCUGAAAUAUCCCUCAGCUCCUGCCCUGGGCUAUCAGAACUGUUCUUCAUUUAGGGGCAUGUAGGCAGCUGAAACAAGUUAGGGUUCUCCCACCUACAGCCAUAUGCUGGAGCCUCUACUGCCCUUUUCAUCUUUAAGUCGUAGGUAAUGAAAAUAAAUAUCAGGAGGUCUGUAAUAAUGACAUGGAAUGGGAUGUUUUGAUCAUAUUAAUUGCUCAGGCUGUUGCAAUACAGGAUCACAAAUCAAUGUUUCCCCAGUGGCUGGCUCAGACUCCCGGUGCACGUUUAAACAGAUGUGACCUUGAUGAGGAGAGAUACUGGGGGCUUGAGGCAAGCUUGCAAGACAGAUGAAUGUGCUCUGGCAGAUUUAUGAGGAGUUAUUCCUCAAUGCAGAAAAGUCUAUCUUUUUUCACCUAAAUGCUCCUCCAAAAGUGACUCUUCCUGUGUACAAAACACAAGCAAUCUGCAAAGCAAGUGACAAUGUCAGGAGGUCUUUAAGGAAAAAUAUUUCCACGGGGCUGGAGCACAGAGGCAGCAAAGUGAAAACAGAGGUGUGAUUCAUUCAGAACGAGGUGUCCUCAUUCAUUUAUAGCAGUUUGCUCUCCACGUAAAGGAUAUCCUGCUCGGACAAUGUGGGCAGUUUCUUGUAAUCUGUCCCUGCAUCACAAGAGAUCUUGGAUUUCUUCCUGUGCAACUGAGUCUCUUUCAUUUAGUGUCACCUCCCGUCAUGCCAAGAAAACCCACAGCAGCCAGUAGGGUUGAAAGAGGUGUCUGUAAACACAUGUUUACUGAGACCACUGGUAAACCAGCCUCUGAGUCAUCCCUCCUCACGCUGUGUGUUUCAAUUCUUCCUCCUCUCAGGCAAUAACAUCAGGCUUUCACAAGUUCCUGAUGAAAGUAGGGACUGAAUGCCCCAGGACUGUGUGUGCAUGAUGGAGAACAAGAUGGAGACAGAAGGUUUGCUUGGGGCUGGAAGAACAUGUUUUGCCUCUGCAGCCUUAUGAAAACAGCUGAAGUAAAUUAGUAAGUACUAAUAGCAGCUAGGCCUAACAAUGAUAGGCUUGUUAGCAUAUUUAAAACCUCUUAAUUGGCAUCACAGCUGCUGGUGUGUGGGACGUCCAGGAGCCCAUCUGGGCCCAAGGCUCUGGAGGUAAACUUGUUGAGUUUCAGAGGUCCAAGUGCUGAACGGGGCACGUCCUGCCCCAUCCAACCUAGAAUCACUGCCUCUGGGAGCCUUCUGCAGCUGCUUCUCACAUUGCCACAGUCAAUUGCUGGAUUUAGACCUGGGAUGACUUUGGGAUAGCCUCCUCAAGUUCAGUAUCGACGUGUUCUCAUUAGCAUUAGGGAUCAUCAUGACCACCUAAUCUCAUUCCUAACCUGCAGGAGUUACUCCUGUUUGAACCACAGCAUGGAAAAGCAUCCCAUCCUGACCUCAGAACUUCUAGUGAUGGAAAAAUCUGCCGUAACUUUUGUAAGUCCUUCCAAAGAUGAAUGAGGGUCAUGUUGUGGUUUAACCCGGCAGGAGGCUGAGCGCUACACAGUCCUUUGUUUGCUCCCCUCCUUCCCAGGGGGAUGGGGGAGAGAAUUGGAAAAAACUCCUUCCACAUGGUGUCAUGUGGUAUGGAAUAUACCUUUAGCCAGUUGAAGUCAGCUGUCCUAAUUCUGCUCCCUCCCAGCUUCUUGGAACCUUCACUGCAAACGGCCUUGGCUCUGCACAGCACUGCUUUGCAGCACUGUAAACAUCAGUGUGUUAUCAACAUUGUUUUUCUCCCAGGACCAAAACAGAGCAGCAUACCAGACACUCUGAAUAAACAAUUCCGUCCCAGCUGAAGCAAAGACAGGUCACUGCUAGGGGGAAAAAAGAAUUCACCUUGCUUUCAAUCUGCAUUUGUUUAACUUCAGCUUUCAGACCACCUGAAGGGAGCAGCUCUAAAUGCUUCAGGGCGUGUGGUUGAACAGACUCCAACUACCAAGAUGGAGAAGCUGAAGUGGAUCACACUGGUCAGCAAAUGUGACCAGAAGGAAUCUGACACAACCAACCCUUCCUUUGCAAUCAACGUGGGAUCCAAAACAAACCUUCGGCGCUCUCGGCAUCGCUGCCCAGGGAACCAGGCAUCCUGCAAAUAAACACUGAAUUGCAAAUCUGCGAGGGAGCUGAAUACAGCAUCACAGCCAUACUUCUUUCUGGUGGAUUGGCUCAGAAGAGAAGUUCUGUACAUGGGCUUUGGUAACAUCCAGCCAAGAGCUGAGUUUCGAGGGCCAGGAACUGCAGAUGGGCACACAGAUAGGUCAAACCUUGUUUUUUUUUUUCCCCCAGAAGAAACAUUUGGUGUCCAGUCUGCAAACACAGGUGACCUUAAGAGCAACUCCGGCCAUUAAUGCCCUUCUUGUUUUACCUUUUGUAAAAAGUUACAAGGAUUUUUAUCUAGGGUAAAACAUAUAGAUAGAUAGAUAGAUAGAUUUGCAGCUGGGAGCUGCUUUAUGCAGGCACAGCCUCUCUCUUGGCCACGGCCUUUUGGGCCAGGCAUGGUACAGUCUGUGGGUUGUAAACGUCAUUGAGCGAGUCAGCAGCUUUCCCCAUGAAACCAUCUCAAAGCCUUCCCCUGUUGCUGCACAUUUAAUUUCCCCAUUCAGGGGCCAGUGAGAGUAAAGGCAACCUGUGUAUGGAAACUUUUAAUUAAACUACAAAUAUAGAGUCGAGUCAUUUCUGGCGGAGGUGUAAAUAGUCUGUGGGAGAAGUGCUGAGUUGUGGGAGAGGAAGGCAGCAUUUGUAUCCAGCCCUGGAAUUUGUCCAUUCGUCACACUGUUGUCCCAGGAUCACAGAACCAUUAAGGUUGGAAAAGACUUCCAAGAUCAUCCAGUUCAGUCGUCCACCUACCACCAAUAUUUCCCAGUGAUCCCAUGUUCCUUAGUACCACAUCUACACAUCUUGAACACAUCCAGAGACAGUGACUCCACCACCUCCCUGGGCAGCAGUGCCAGUGCCUGACCGCUCUUUCGAAGGCCAUCACCUCUUGUCCUGUUGCUGUUACUCAGGAGAAGAGGCUGACACCCACCUUGCCACAACCCCCUGUCAAGGAGUUGCAGAGGGCAAUAAGGUCUCCCCUGAGCCUCCUCCUCUCCACCCUCCACAGCUCCCAUCAGUCCUUCUUUGUUCAUGAACAGCAGGUCUAGUGGAGCACCUUCAUCAUCCCUGGUAGGCUCUCUUACCAGCUGUGCCUCAUUAUUCCCUUCCCCUUUCACAUCCAGUUUAAAGCAUUCUCAACAAGCCUUGCCAGCUCCUGGGCUAGGAUCUGUUUCCCCUUUGAGAUAGGUGAGACCCAUCUGUAGCCAUUAGGCCAGACACCAAGAAAACCUCCCCAGGAUCAAAAAAGCCAAAAUUCCUGCCAUGGCACCACCCUCUUAGCCAUAUAUUUGUCAGAUAGGCUUUCCUACUCUUCUCAGUAUCCCUCCCUGCCAUUGAAGGGAUAGAGGGAAAUACGACCUGUACUUUCUCCAUCAACUAACUGCCAUCAAGUAACUGCUCCAUCAACUAACUGCCCCAAUCCCCUGAAGUCCCUUUUGAUAGUCCUCAAGCUUCUGUCAGCUAUUUCAUUGCUGCCAGCCUGAACUGUCAGUAAAGGGUAAUAAUCAGAGGGGUGAACCAGACCCAGUCUUUAGUGAGGCAUCGGACUUUCCUACAGGUAGGUUAUGCUGACAGAUGGGGCCUUCUGUGCCCCUCGGAAAGGAAUUGCCUGUGACAGUUACCCUUCUUUAAUUCUUGGUGGGGGCAGUUUUGAGGCAUGUAGUAGUUGGCUGCCUUGUCCUAAACAACCUCCUGGGUGGACCUUCCAUGGCAGCUGGAACUGGAGUUGAAGCUGAUCCAAUGGCAUGUCAGCGUUGGCUAUGCCUCAUUAGAAAUCAAUUGUAAAAAGUUUUUUUAGAAGAGAAUUAAUUCAUCUUGCUUCUUUGUUUUCCCACUCUUUGCUUUGGAUUUUCAUUACCCUCUGUGAGAAUUUUAGAGGAAAUUGUUUCUGAAUGGCUAUUUUCCAGGGCAGACAAUCUCUCUUUUCUCUGCCUCUGGUAGAAAUGUAGGCUAUUAUUUUUGAAAAUGAGUAUCCAAAUUCUGGCUCCCAAACCCACACACGGACAUGCAGGUUGAGCAAUGAAGGGACAUCCAAGGAGCUCAGCUUGUUCAAGUGUCGCACGCUUCUUGAGGCUUUGAAGUCUCCAAUCCUAAUAGCUCCAGCUCAGCCUCCACGAUGCAACGAGCCAUCAAGAAAUGGAUCCAUUGAGAUUUCCUACACUUUCCUUCAUGGCACUGCCAUUAUGUGGGUAGCGUAUACCGGGUCGCUAUGUGAGAUGGUUCUGGUUUAUUUAUCUUCUUGAUGUGGGUAUAUAUGUACACACCUGUUAUAAAAUACAUCCAAAAUCCUGGUGGCAUUAAUUUUUGAAAUGAAUAGUUGCUGUGCCAUAAAGAAAUUAUUGACAUUUCCAUAGCAAGUGUGUGCUCCAAGCACACCCAGCCUUCUGGUUACACACCCACAUGUUUGAACUCAUUUUUACUUAGGAAAAACACUCCUGUUCCUUUUGGAACAGACAUUAGUAUUCUCCAUCUCUGGCCUACAGCUUAUCUUGCACUGCAAAGAGGAAUUCAGCUGCUAUCAGUUUGCAACUGGGAUUUCUGUGUGAGCCAUGGGACACCUUGGCCUAAUUGAAGGUCAUUGAGCUGGAAGGCAAUUUGGUUAGGAAGGGACGAAAUAAUUCAGCAGGAUGGAGAAUGGAUCUGAAAGAGAAAUCUAAAAGUUAAGCAAACCAGAACCUGUCUUACAUUUGGGAAAUUCUCACUUCACUUGAAAAUACAGCCCCUUUCCUGAAGGUAGAACAGCUGACUCUCUGCAGCCCACUGCUAUUGCCUGGGAUGAACCUGUUAGGGCUGGGGCUGUGAUGUGAUGUGAAAUGCUGUGGCUGCUCUGUGUUCUUUAGUACAACCCAUUUCAAACCAGGUAGGUCAGGGAGUUUGGCAAGCAUACCAUGUUAGGAAGGACAAUCUUUCCAAUGCACUCUGUGCCCCCCUGCACUGUUGGAGAGGUUGGGGCUGUCACAUAUGGACUCCUGUGUCAUGGCAAAACCUGGGGGAGGGGGAGGGCACGGCAGUGGGUACCAGGUUGGCAGCACAGUGUGCUGUGAAGGCAGGUUGUCACUGAGAGAGUUUACAGCGGAGGGCUUUGCAGAGUAGAAAAUGUAAAUAGAGGUGUCCUUUGAUGCUAUUGCAUAGGGAAAUAAUCAGUUACUAUCACCGUUAUUUAAUACGGUACCAAACUCUGCAUGCCUGGCUGACUCGCUUCUAUUCAUGGUGUCUAGGACAGAGAAACAAUUACAAGUGUGUGUAAAGGAUGGAGGUGAAAAAAGAACAGGAGCUGAGUUUUAACUCCUUAGAGUAAAAAUGAGGGAGGCUUCUCCUCCUGCCCCUCCUGACCUGUGCUCCUUUCCAGGUGCCCUGCUGAGCACACCCAGCAGCAGGACAAAGCUGCAUCAGUGCAGAGCUGCAGCCUCUGGGACCUUCCUUGGUGCUGGGCUUUGCUCUUCUGUUUCCUUCUUUGAGACCUUUUGGGGCUCAAAUAGCCCUUCUCUGUUCCCUCGAAACACUUUCUGUUCCCUCACUGUGGA
ensembl:lncRNA